CAGUCGCCGCGGUAAUACGUAGAUGGCAAGCGUUGUCCGGAAUUAUUGGGCGUAAAGGGCUCACAGGCGGUUUCUUAAGUCCGAUGUGAAAGCCCCCGGCUCAACCGGGGAGGGUCAUUGGAAACUGGGAAACUUGAGUGCAGAAGAGGAGAGUGGAAUUCCACGUGUAGCGGUGAAAUGCGUAGAGAUGUGGAGGAACACCAGUGGCGAAGGCGACUCUCUGGUCUGUAACUGACGCUGAGGUGCGAAAGCGUGGGGAGCAAACAGGAUUAGAUACCCCUGUAGUCCCUGUCUCUUAUAC
rnacentral:rRNA from 1 species